GAGGUCAACUUGAGAGUUUGAUCCUGGCUCAGAGCGAACGCUGGCGGCAGGCUUAACACAUGCAAGUCGAAGGUGAAGCCAG
rnacentral:rRNA from 1 species